UAAGUCAGUAUUUAAGAAGAGACACUUUUAAGUUUGCUGUCUUGGAAACAGACACACAGUUCCAAGACAGCAAACUUAAAAGUGUCUCUUCUUAAAUACUGACUUAA